UUCUAAUUUGCAUGAUUUGAUAUCCUUGUAAGUCUCUCCGAGUCUCGGGUUUUGUUUGGCCAACUAGAUCUAUGAUUCUUGCAAUGGGAGAAGUGCUUGGUUUUGGGUUCUUACCAUGUGGUGACUUUUCCCAAUGACAGUAGGGGCAGCAAGGCACACAUCGUGUAGUUGCCAUCAAGGGUAACAAGGUCGGCUUUCUCGUAGAUAUGAGAUUGUCCAUCUACAUC
rnacentral:lncRNA from 1 species